UUUUCAUAAGAAUGGGUUCUAUUCCCUUAAACCGUGUCUACAUACCUUUGUUGCUUUGGCAGGCCGCCUUCGGGCGUCGGCUCCGGCUGAUAGUGCCUGCCAGAGGACCCAAACUCUAUGUUUAGUGAUGUCUGAGUACUAUAUAAUAUUUAAAACUUUCAACAACGGAUCUCUUGGUUCUGGCAUCGAUGAAGAACGCAGCGAAAUGCGAUAAGUAAUGUGAAUUGCAGAAUUCAGUGAAUCAUCGAAUCUUUGAACGCACAUUGCGCCCCUUGGUAUUCCGAGGGGCAUGCCUGUUCGAGCGUCAUUAUAACCACUCAAGCCUGGCUUGGUAUUGGGGCUUUCGCGUGUUCGCGGCCCUUAAAAUCAGUGGCGGUGCCGUCUGGCUCUAAGCGUAGUAAUUUCUCUCGCUAUAGGGUUCCGGUGGUUACUUGCCAAAACCCCCCAUUUUUUCUAGGUUGACCUCGAU
rnacentral:rRNA from 1 species